rnacentral:lncRNA from 1 species
CAAUUCGUUGCCAGGCAGCCUCGCGAGCGCUAGUUUAGGUCCAUUUGGUUCUCCAAGGGUUCCUAAAAUUUCUAUGACAUCAAAUAUUUAGAUACUAAUUACGAGUAUUAAAUAUAGACUAAUUAUAAAACCAAUUGCACGGAUGGAGGCUAAGUUGCGAGACGAGUCUGUUAAGCCUAAUUAAUCCAUGAUUUGACAAUGUGAUGCUACGGUAAACAUGUGGUAAUGAUAGAUUAAUUAGGUUUAAUAGAUUUGUCUCGCAAAUUAGUCUCCAUCUAUGUAAUUAGUUUUAUAAUUAGCUCAUAUUUAGUUCUCUUAAUUAGCCUUCGAAAAUUCGAUGUGACAUAAAUUUUAAUCUGGACUAAAGAACCAAACACUCCUGGAUAUAUCGAUGCGUGACUAGCUGCCUGAUUGGAUGCAUGAUGGAUCUAUCCAGCGUCACGGCGUGCUGCUGGCGGGCGGAGCCAUGCGCGAUAAGGAGAGAGCUAGACGUAGCCAUGGAUAGACUUGCCGGCUAGCUGGCCGGAGUUGCCGGCGUGGAUAUAUAUGGAUGGAUGCGAGCAGUGAGUAGUCGCCGGCACUGUGUGGUGGCGGCGCGCGGCCGGCAAUUCAUCCUUGGCUGCAUCCCGCUCUCUCCCUCGUCGCACAUGGCGGCGCCCCCUCCAUGUCGAUCAAGAUCUCUGCCUCAGUCUCACCCGUGGCUAGCUU